UUGGAUCCCGACACCCGGAGCUGGCAAGAUUUGAGCCGUAGAGGAGCUUCGUGGCAAUUCCCGCCUCCAUGCGGAUAGAGGCGGGGCUUUCCUACGAGAUCUGGAUUACGAUUGGUCCAUCCCUGAAACGCUCGACCAUAGAGUUGCCGGGACUCAGAGGUUCCAUAACCUCGCGCACAAGAUGGCGACCAAGGUGGAAACUGAAGAAAAGGGCGUGGGAGAGAUGACGCGACGUGUGACGCAGCCAGACACAUGACUUUGGCCCUGAGCCUUCAUUCGGGCGCCCGGGCCACGGGGCGCGUUGCAUAUUGGGAUUUGUAGUUGUACCAGCGGGUCCCCACCAAGGACAUUCCCGCGAGACAUUCGAGGCCGAGAGAGCCGAAGCCUUUGCAGUAAUUCCCACUGUGGCGGUUUGCGAAACUCCGCUUUCGCCAUGGAAUAUAAAGGCCGAGUGGAAAGUCCCCAGGCGUCGCUGCUAUAACAUGGUGACCUCCUGGAGAACAGAGACAUGCUCUAUGCCUCUUUGUAUUUGCCCUUUGUUAUCAGAGCA